GGCUGCGAUCGAGGAUCGGUAUGCAUCUCCAUGCUGUGCUCCAUGCACACUCCUUGGUUACGAUCGAGAAUUGGUACGCAUCUCCAUGCUGCUCUCUACGUGCGCUCCUUGGCUAUGGCGAGGAUCUGUAUGCAUCUCCAUACUGUACUUUGCGCGCAUGCCUCGACUGUGGUCGCUGAUCGGUAUGCGCAUCUCCAUGCUACCCUCCACACGUGCUCCUCAACUACAGAGGAUCAGUAUGUAUUUCCAUGCUGCAUAC
rnacentral:lncRNA from 1 species